AACGAACGCUGGCGGCAGGCCUAACACAUGCAAGUCGAACGCUCCGCAAGGGGAGUGGCAGACGGGUGAGUAACACGUGGGAAUCUUCCUGUUGGUGCGGAAUAGCUCAGGGAAACUUAGGGGUAAGUACCGCAUAAGCCCGAGAGGGGAAAGGAUUUAUCGCCGACAGAUGAGCCCGCGUCUGAUUAGCUAGUUGGUGAGGUAAUGGCUCACCAAGGCGACGAUCAGAGCUGGUCUGAGAGGAU
rnacentral:rRNA from 1 species